rnacentral:siRNA from 1 species
ACUCCAACAUAUUCAAAAGUGGUC